AGAGGUCCCAAGCGUUGUUCGGAUUUACUGGGCGUAAAGAGUGCGUAGGCGGCUAGAAAAGUUUGGUGUGAAAUCUUCGGGCUUAACCCGGAAACUGCACUGAAAACUAUCUGGCUAGAGGAUCGGAGAGGAGAUUGGAAUUCUCGGUGUAGCAGUGAAAUGCGUAGAUAUCGAGAGGAACACCAGUUGCGAAGGCGGAUCUCUGGACGGUUUCUGACGCUGAGGCACGAAAGCUGGGGUAGCGAAGAGGAUUAGAUACCCUCGUAGUCCCAGCCGUAAACGGUGCACACUUGCUGUGGGCGGAUUCGACCCCGUCCGUGGCGAAGCUAACGCGAUAAGUGUGCCGCCUGGGGAGUACGGUCGCAAGAUUAAAACUCAAAGAAAUUGACGGGGGCCUGCACAAGCGGUGGAGUAUGUGGCUUAAUUCGAUGCAACGCGAAGAACCUUACCUGGCCUUGACAUGUAGUGGCCCGGGUGCGAAAUCACCCUUUUCUUCGGAACUGCUACACAGGUGCUGCAUGGCUGUCGUCAGCUCGUGUCGUGAGAUGUUGGGUUAAGUCCCGCAACGAGCGCAACCCUCGUGUUCUGUUGCCACCCGGAUGUAAAUCCGGAGCACUCUGGACAGACUGCCUGGUUUCAACUAGGAGGAAGGUGAGGAUGACGUCAAGUCAGUAUGGCCCUUACGGCCAGGGCUGCACACGUACUACAAUGCCUGAUAUAAUGGGAAGCAAGACCGCGAGGUGGAGCAAAUCCUCAAAAUCAGGCCCAGUUCAGAUUGUAGGCUGCAACUCGCCUACAUGAAGGAGGAAUCGCUAGUAAUGCCGUAUCAGCUACGACGGCGUGAAUACGUUCCCAGGCCUU
rnacentral:rRNA from 1 species